rnacentral:rRNA from 1 species
ACCGUUCAGGGGUAAACCUGAGGAACCCAAAAGAUCGAAUGGGGAGAUUCAUCAUCAACGAAGCUGGCUUCGCGAUGGCUCGUGAUGUCCAUCGGGAUUUCGGUCCUGUGUGGCACGCGGUCGUUGCGUUGCGUCUGGCUACGUCGGCGUGCACUUCUCCCCUAGUAGAACGUCGCGACCCGUUGGGUGCCGGUCUUACGGCCUGGGUGGAUGCCUGGUUGCUUUACUGCGCCAGACCCCCGUGUUGCCAAUGAAUCCGGCUGCCCGGCGGUACUCCGAUGGUAUCAGGCCGCAUAUUUGAACUGCGUCGGGCCCAUUUUGUCCGCGGAUCAGUGCUCGGUGGUUACGGACCUAGUGCCGUCCCCGUGCCUGACUCGCGCAUGGCAAGUGGUGUCCUCCGACAGGCCAUGCACUCGAAUGAAGGAUACCGGUCGGCGACGCUACUGCUUUGGGUAAUCUCAGGACCCGUCUUGAAACACGGACCAAGGAGUCUAACAUGUGCGCGAGUCAUUGGGACCGCAUGCCUAAAGGCGAAAUGAAAGUGAAGGUCGGCCUUAGCGCCGACCGAGGGAGGAUGGGCCGCGUUACGAUGCGGCUUCGCACUCCCGGGGCGUCUCGUUCUCAUUGCGAGAAGAGGCGCACCCAGAGCGUACACGUUGGGACCCGAAAGAUGGUGAACUAUGCCUGGUCAGGACGAAGUCAGGGGAAACCCUGAUGGAGGUCCGUAGCGAUUCUGACGUGCAAAUCGAUCGUCGGAACUGGGUAUAGGGGCGAAAGACUAAUC